rnacentral:lncRNA from 1 species
GGUAGACACUCAGUAACGUUGGCUUAUUUUCCUCCAGAACGCAAGUAAAUCAUUCUGUAUAAGCAUUCUCACAGUUACAGAAGACAUUACCUGAAGUUACAUGGUUGGAAAGUACUCCCUCCUCCUGGAGGGAAUCUGGGAAGGAGGUUUCAUAGGUGCAGAGUGUAGGAGGUUGGAAUAUCAUAAAAUCAGUGAAAUGGAGCAAGGCCCUUCAUCAUGCAGAAGCAAAUAGCUUAGAGAUUUAGAUGAUCUCUAAGUGUACAGGACCUAUGCAGAAAGGAUGAAAAGGGGUGUGGAAUUCAGAUACUAAAUGAGAGAUAAGAUGGAGAAAAUAUGGUAGGUCAAAUUUAUGUUGGUCCAGAUGCCAUAUAUAUUUAGUUAAGAUUAGGUUUGGCUAUGAGAGAUGGAGAAUACAAAAUUGCAUUACCUUUAUAAAAUGGAAUUCUGUUUAUCUUUUAUGUGGAUUCCAGAUACAGGCAGGCCAGAGCUGGUAUCAUCAAUACAUGGUGUCUGGCACCCAGCUUCCAUGGUCUUCUAGCUGUGCUGCAUGUUGCUUCUAUUCUUAGUCUAAGAUAGUUGCUGAAGCAUCAGCCUUUGCAUCUACAUCCCAGUCAGCAAUAAGAAGGAGAGAAAAAGAACACAUUCUCUAUAUUUUAAAAAGUUAUACAUUACAUUUCUCCUUAAUCUCACUAUCUAACAAGUUGUCUUAUGGACAUAGGUAGCUACAAGAGAGAUUGGAAAAUGUAGUCUAUUUGGGCAUAGGGAGAAGGGAAUAAUGCAUCCUGGAGAUCAAAUAUUGCCAAAUACUUUUUUUGAUUUAUCAAUCACCACCAAGAGAUUUUGGAGACAAUAACUUCAGAAAAAAACUCACAACAAUCCUCUAGACCAGCAGAAAGCCAUACAGUAAAACUUUGCCAUAACUUAUCCCGGAGACAUAGUAGAAAGGCAGGUGUGCUAUGGUUUGAGAAGCUGAUAUUAUUGUUAUUUAUUACUAUUAUUGAUGAUCCUUUCUUUUUCCAACUCCCUUCCAAAUUUUCUUGCUACAGUUCAGAAACUACAUGGCCAUUCUUAGUGUUAUGACACUCAGAUGUCUGAAACGUAUAUAAGAGGUUUAAGGGAAAUAGCAAAGUCACUGCAUUUAAAGAUCAGAUAACAGCAGGUUUUAACUUCUCUGAUUAACCUAUCCACUCUUAAAUAGAGGAUAGCAUAAUGUUUCUGUUCUCCCCAUGCUUGCAAGGGUCGAGAAGAUAGUUGUGUUGAAAAUAUAAAUGUUGAGAGGGACAGAAAUAAUACUGACUCAUCAUCACCACUUUGUGUUUCAGCUCAAAUUGGUUUAUGGGAUGAGUUUCUGGUCAUCUAACAUGUUUCUGAGGGCAAGUGACCAGGACAUAUAAAUGUAUAUGUAGCAGGUUCAGGAAAAACCAGGAACAUGGAACAUAUGAUUCAUCUGUGUAACAAACAUAUAUUAAGCAUCUACUAUGUGUCGUGUACUUUACGAUGCUCUAAAGAUACAGAGAAAAGGACCCACUCUGUUGGCAAUCUGCUCACAGUUCAGUGGGAAAUAUGAGCAGUAAGCAUUUUAAUACAGAGGCAUGUGUCUUUGUGGAGCUCUGCAGAAGAUAAUCUAAGGGGGCAGCAUUGGUGGGAAAUGUCUACCAAGAGAUGAUAAUUGAGAUGAUUCUUGAAGGAUGUACAAGAGUUUUCAGGUAGAAUGAAUUUGUGCAAAAGCCCUGUGGUAGAGUUAGAGCUUGGAAUAAAAUGAUUAGUGUGACUCGUUUAAAAGAUAUGUUUGUACGUGGAGAUGGAAGGGGAGCGGCAAGAGAUGAAACUGAGAAGAUUGGCAUCAAACUGAUCAAACAACACUUGACGUGCUUUGAUGGAAAGCUCAGUGUUUAUUCUGAAUGUGCUGAUGAAGACAAUCUUCAGAAGAAGCAUGCCUAGGAAUGAUGUCUGCAGGCAUGCAUCAGAACCAUGGCCCUGCCUGCUUGUGCCUGACUGACUGGAUAGCCUGCUACAGUGGUAAUUCAAUAGUAUGAGGACCCUAGGUGUGACAUUAUAUAUUUGAAGAUCAUCAGGUUUGCAGUGAGGUGAGAGAAAAUGAGUGCAGUUUGGGGUCAUGUUGAAUAUUGGGGGCCUAUGACAGGUCCAUCUGGAAAGGACUCCUAGAAGCCAGAGGUACAUAAGUAGAAGGAGAGGUAUGUCCAGUGAGUUAGGGACUGGUGAAAGUCUUGAGCAACUAAGCACAGAUACCAAUAAGCUGAGAAGUUUGCCCGGAAGGAACAGAGGAGUAGGAAAGAGCUGACUCCCCUCCCUUCCUGCUGAGACCGAAGGCCAUUCUUGUCAUAUUUCACCGGGUUCCAGUCUGGAGGAAGACAAAGCUCACUGGCCAGUCAAUUCCAGAUAGUCAUAGGAGUGGGUCUUCCAGCCUGGCUAGACAUGUCUCUUGCUGGCCCAACCACUAUAGUGAAUUGUUCUGAAUACCCUGUUCUACCAAACUCAAAGCCAAACAAGAUUAUUUAAGGUUCCCAGGGAGUGAUAGGCUCCAAUGGGAAGCAGAUGUAGUUCAAAGUGUGCAGAAGGAGAUGAGAAUCCGAAGAAGUGAUGCUGGGGCCAGACCAUGGGCACAGGUGUCCCGUACUAGCUGUUACCCAGUGCUCUGCCUGGCAGGGCUAGGACUGAGAUGGGGGUGGGCAGUGGGGCUGCAGUUUCCUGGGAUAGCUCUGGGCACUUUUUGGAUGGACAAUCAUGGGUAACUGGCCUUUUAUGCCUUUAGAAUUGUCCCAUUAGGGGUAAAGAAGUACAAGCCUUCUUGUGAUCCCCUAAGGAUCAUACUUCCAGGAUUCCCUAAGGGUGGAAUCUUCUGGCUGUUUUUGACACUUCCCUGUGGCAAAAGACUUUUUAGCUCUAUACUUCCUAGAGGAAAAAGAUCCCUGCACAACCUGGCCCCAAUCUUCUUUACUGACUCAGGUUCUGCCAUUACCCAAUCUCUUCAGUUUGCCAUGGAUAUAGCUUUGUUUUAUCUCACCGCACAUAUGCAUGUGUGUGAGUAUGCAUAGACGCACGCACACACACAUGCACACACACACACACACACCACCUCUCAAGCCGCAUAGUUCCCUAAAUACCUACUUUGAUUUUUCAAACCUUUUCACAUUUUUCCUCUGUCUCUGAUGAGCAUCUCCCAUUACAUUAUUUGAGGGUUUCAAAACUCAGUUCAAAUAUCACUUUCCUUCUUUAAGACCCUUCCUAAUCUCCUAAUCAGCCACGCCAAGUUCUAUAAGCUCUCUUCUCUGUCCCUGAUGCACUGUGUAGACACCCCAUGUAAAGCAUGCUUUCUGGUUACAAUUUUGUUUCUGUGUUUCUUACAGCCCCACCCCCACCCUCACUAGCCAGCAGAUGGAGAACUCUAAGAAGCAUGCGCCUGGUAUUAUCUUGUUACCUGUCCCUGCAUCUAGCAUACUUCUUGACACGCUGGCAGCAGUCAAAAUAUAUCUUCCUUCUGACCUCAAACCUGAACAUCCAACGUCUCAGUGAGAUCCCAUAGAUUCCCCAUUCAAUUCCUUCAUUUCCCAUCUCAAAGCAGAGUUUGUGCUAUGGAAAAGGUAACUAAUUUCACUAAAAGGACAUCCAGCACAUGCACACCUCAGCCCCUCAAGCUGAUGGUUGCCAUGUGCAGCAAACUUAAGAAGGAGCAGGGUGGCCUUACCCUUGACUAUAUUGUGCGAAUGUUUAGCUGGAGCAGAGAGAAUAGGGGAGCAGAAUCUCCUAGAGUUGCCAGAGGUUGCAAUAUACAGACAGGUGAUCUGUACCAGACUCACUUUGAUAGGAACUGCCACACGGCUCCAUGCGCCUUGUGCCAACUUGGCUUCUUGGGUAUUUCUUGUAGUCCUAUCACUGAGAAUCCAAGCAUUCCAUCCGUUGGCUAUAGUUUCUUCUAGGCCUCCAGAAAAAGGAUUUGGAGUCACAAAGCACAUUUGAAAAUAACCUGCUUCUUGAGUUACAGGGUCACACUGAGGGAUGUCAACACAAGGAAGGUCACAUUACACCCCUAAGAGAAGUUCUCAUGCAUGGCUUUUAUUUCCCAGCCUGGACAACUGAACUGUAGAGUUGAUUUCAUAUUCCAAGAGGAGCCUCUGGUCUCUGCCAAGAGAAGGAGCUUCCAUGAAAUUGCCUGACAUAAGUCAUCCUUGUUAGAGACCCAGGACAGUGGCCAGCACGGUGGGUCUGAACAUUUGCAUUUGCAUUAGAGUGAUAGAUUCCUUUUACCCUGCUGGUACAACCCGCUCCAGUCUCCUAACAGCUCCAGUCUUGGAACGACACAGAGUCAGUAGCUUGGGUAUUCACCAUGAGAGCUUUAUUUUGGGCAAAAAUAAUUCAUUAGGUCUGGAUCCUGCUGCUGUCUUCCCAACAGAUGUCCUCUUUUGUUCAUGUUGCAGUUUGGCUUCAUGAGUGCCCAACUGAUUCUUGAUAAAAAAAAAA